GAAAUGCGAUAAGUAGUGUGAAUUGCAGAAUUCAGUGAAUCAUCGAAUCUUUGAACGCACAUUGCGCCCUUUGGUAUUCCAAAGGGCAUGCCUGUUCGAGCGUCAUUUGUACCCUCAAGCUUUGCUUGGUGUUGGGCGUCUUGUCUCUAGCUUUGCUGGAGACUCGCCUUAAAGUAAUUGGCAGCCGGCCUACUGGUUUCGGAGCGCAGCACAAGUCGCACUCUCUAUCAGCAAAGGUCUAGCAUCCAUUAAGCCUUUUUUCACCUUUUGACCUCGGAUCAGGUAGGGAUACCCGCUGAACUUAAGC
rnacentral:misc_RNA from 1 species